rnacentral:rRNA from 1 species
ACGUAGGACGCAAGCGUUAUCCGGAGUUACUGGGCGUAAAGCGCGGGCAGGCGGCCUCGCAAGUCUGAUGUGAAAGCACUCUGCUCAACAGAGUGAUGCCGUUGGAAACUAUAAGGCUGGAGUCUGGCAGAGGUAGGCGGAAUUCCGGGUGGAGUGGUGAAAUGCGUAGAGAUCUGGAGGAACACCAGAGGCGAAGGCGGCCUACUGGGCCAGUACUGACGCUGAGCCGCGAAAGCCAGGGGAGCAAACGGGA